rnacentral:rRNA from 1 species
CCUACGGGAGGCUGCAGUGAGGAAUAUUGGUCAAUGGGCGUAAGCCUGAACCAGCCAAGUCGCGUGAGGGAUGAAGGCUCUCUGGAUCGUAAACUUCUUUUACAAGGGAGAAAAGGGCGGGACGUGUCCCGUUUUGUAUGUACCGUAUGAAUAAGAAUCGGCUAAGUCCGUGCCAGCAGCCGAGGUGCUACGGAGGAUCCGAGCGUUAUCCGGAUUUAUUGGGUUUAACGGGUGCGUAGGCGGUCUUUUAAGUCAGCAGUGAAAGUCUGGAGCUCAACCUUAGAAUUGCCGGUGAAACUGGGAUGCUUGAGUAUGAGAGAGGAAGGCAGAAUGCGUGGUGUAGCGGUGAAAUGCGUAGAUAUCACGCAGAACCCCGAUUGCGAAGGCAGCCUACCAGG